AACGAACGCUGGCGGCAUGCCUAACACAUGCAAGUCGAACGAGAUCUUCGGGUCUAGUGGCGCACGGGUGCGUAACGCGUGGGAAUCUGCCCUUUGGUUCGGAAUAACAGUUGGAAACGACUGCUAAUACCGGAUGAUGACGAAAGUCCAAAGUUUUAUCGCCAGAGGAUGAGCCCGCGUAGGAUUAGCUAGUUGGUGUGGCAAAGGCGCACCAAGGCGACGAUCCUUAGCUGGUCUGAGAGGAUGAUCAGCCACACUGGGACUGAGACAUGGCCCAGGCUCCUGCGGGAGGCAGCAGUGGUGAAUAUUGGACAAUGGGCGAAAGCCUGAUCCAGCAAUGCCGCGUGAGUGAUGAAGGCCGUAGGGUUGUAAAGCUCUUUUACCCGGGAUGAUAAUGACAGUACCGGGAGAAUAAGCUCCGGCUAACUCCGUGCCAGCCGCCGCGGUAA
rnacentral:rRNA from 1 species